rnacentral:rRNA from 1 species
GUCUCCAGCCAUGCCACCCUGAACAAGCCCGAUCCCGUCUGAUCUCAGAAGCUAAGCAGGGUCAGGGCCUGGUUAGUACCUGGGAGACCACCUAGGAAGACCAAGUGCUGUAGGGG